rnacentral:rRNA from 1 species
GAUGAACGCUAGCGGGAGGCCUAACACAUGCAAGCCGAGCGGUAUUUGUUCUUCGGAACAGAGAGAGCGGCGCACGGGUGCGGAACACGUGUGCAACCUGCCUUUAUCUGGGGGAUAGCCUUUCGAAAGGAAGAUUAGUACCCCAUAAUAUAUUGAGUGGCAUCAUUUGAUAUUGAAAACUCCGGUGGAUAGAGAUGGGCACGCGCAAGAUUAGAUAGUUGGUGAGGUAACGGCUCACCAAGUCAAUGAUCUUUAGGGGGCCUGAGAGGGUGAUCCCCCACACUGGUACUGAGACACGGACCAGACUCCUACGGGAGGCAGCAGUGAGGAAUAUUGGACAAUGGGUUAGCGCCUGAUCCAGCCAUCCCGCGUGAAGGACGACGGCCCUAUGGGUUGUAAACUUCUUUUGUAUAGGGAUAAACCUACUCUCGUGAGAGUAGCUGAAGGUACUAUACGAAUAAGCACCGGCUAACUCCGUG